rnacentral:rRNA from 1 species
UGAGGAAUAUUGGUCAAUGGGCGAGAGCCUGAACCAGCCAAGUAGCGUGCAGGAUGACGGCCCUAUGGGUUGUAAACUGCUUUUAUAUGGGAAUAAAGUGAGGGACGUGUCCCUUAUUGCAUGUACCAUACGAAUAAGGACCGGCUAAUUCCGUGCCAGCAGCCGCGGUAAUACGGAAGGUCCAGGCGUUAUCCGGAUUUAUUGGGUUUAAAGGGAGCGUAGGCUGUUUGUUAAGCGUGUUGUGAAAUGUAGGAGCUCAACUUUUAGAUUGCAGCGCGAACUGGCAGACUUGAGUGCGCACAACGUAGGCGGAAUUCAUGGUGUAGCGGUGAAAUGCUUAGAUAUCAUGACGAACUCCGAUUGCGCAGGCAGCUUACUGUAGCAUAACUGACGCUGAUGCUCGAAAGUGCGGGUAUCAAACAGG